rnacentral:rRNA from 1 species
GUCCUUGCCGUAACUAUGUGUACUUGAUGUAGCUAGGCUCAACCCUGGCUGUGUCGGAGCUAACGCGAUAAGUACACCGCCUGAGGAGUACGCUCGCAAGGGUGAAACUCAAAGAAUUGACGGGGCCCGCACAAGCAGUGGAGCAUGUGGUUUAAUUCGAUGCAACGCGAAGAACCUUACCUGGGCUCGAAAUGCAAAGGGCGAUAUCAGAAAUGAUAUUUUCCGCAAGGACUUUUGUAUAGGUGCUGCAUGGCUGUCGU